AUUGAACGCUGGCGGCAUGCCUUACACAUGCAAGUCGAACGGCAGCACGGGAGCAAUCCUGGUGGCGAGUGGCGAACGGGUGAGUAAUAUAUCGGAACGUGCCCAGUCGUGGGGGAUAACGUAGCGAAAGCUACGCUAAUACCGCAUACGAUCUAUGGAUGAAAGCGGGGGAUCGCAAGACCUCGCGCGAUUGGAGCGGCCGAUAUCAGAUUAGGUAGUUGGUGGGGUAAAAGCCUACCACGCCUUCGAUCUGUAGCUGGUCUGAGAGGACGACCAGCCACACUGGAACUGAGACACGGUCCAGACUCCUACGGGAGGCAGCAGUGGGGAAUUUUGGACAAUGGGCGCAAGCCUGAUCCAGCAAUGCCGCGUGCAGGAUGAAAGGCCUCGGUUGUAACGUAGCUUUGUUACGGAACGAAACGGUUCUCUCUAAUACAGGGG
rnacentral:rRNA from 1 species